rnacentral:rRNA from 1 species
GAAGCGGGAAAAKCUCAAAUUUAAAAUCUGGCGGUCUUUGGCUGUCCGAGUUGUAAUUUAGAGAAGCGUCUUCCGCGUCGGGCCGUCACAAGUCUCCUGGAAUGGAGCGUCAUAGAGGGUGAGAAUCCCGUCUCUGGCAUGGAUCCCCGGUGCUUCUGUGAUACGCUCUCAAAGAGUCGAGUUGUUUGGGAAUGCAGCUCAAAAUGGGUGGUGAACUCCAUCUAAAGCUAAAUAUUGGCGAGAGACCGAUAGCGAACAAGUACCGUGAGGKAAAGAUGAAAAGCACUUUGGAAAGAGAGUGAAACAGUACGUGAAAUUGUUGAAAGGGAAACGCUUCAAGUCAGUCGCGUCGACCGAGACUCAGCCUCGCCUCGGCUUGGCGUACUUCUCGGCUGACGGGCCAGCAUCAAUUUCGUCCCUCGAAUAAUGGCAAGAGAAAGGUGGCACCUUACGGGUGUGUUAUAGUCUCCUGUCGCAUGCGAGGGGUGGGAUUGAGGACCUCAGCACGCACCUCUCGGUGUCGGGGCUUCGGCUCACGCUACGUGCUUAGGAUGUUGGCGUAAUGGCUUUAAACGACCCGUCUUGAAACACGGACCAAGGAGUCUAACAUGCCCGCGAGUGUUCGGGUGGAAAACCCGUGCGCGAAAUGAAAGUGAAAGUUGGGACCUCUGUCGUGGAGGGCACCGACGCCCGGACCAGACCUUCUGUGACGGAUCUGCGGUAGAGCGUGCAUGUUGGGACCCGAAAGAUGGUGAACUAUGCCUGAAUAGGGUGAAGCCAGAGGAAA